GAUGAACGCUGGCGGCGUGCCUAAUACAUGCAAGUCGAGCGAACAGACGAGGAGCUUGCUCCUCUGACGUUAGCGGUGGACGGGUGAGUAACACGUGGAUAACCUACCUAUAAGACUGGGAUAACUUCGGGAAACCGGAGCUAAUACCGGAUAAUAUAUUGAACCGCAUGGUUCAAUAGUGAAAGACGGUUUUGCUGUCACUUAUAGAUGGAUCCGCGCCGCAUUAGCUAGUUGGUAAGGUAACGGCUUACCAAGGCAACGAUGCGUAGCCGACCUGAGAGGGUGAUCGGCCACACUGGAACUGAGACACGGUCCAGACUCCUACGGGAGGCAGCAGUAGGGAAUCGUCCGCAAUGGGCGAAAGCCUGACGGAGCAACGCCGCGUGAGUGAUGAAGGUCUUCGGAUCGUAAAACUCUGUUAUUAGGGAAGAACAAAUGUGUAAGUAACUAUGCACGUCUUGACGGUACCUAAUCAGAAAGCCACGGCUAACUACGUG
rnacentral:rRNA from 1 species